rnacentral:rRNA from 1 species
AUCCUACGGGACGCAGCAGUGGGGGAUAUUGCACAAUGGGGGGAACCCUGAUGCAGCGACGCCGCGUGAGUGAAGAAGUAUUUCGGUAUGUAAAGCUCUAUCAGCAGGGAAGAAGAAAGACGGUACCUGAGUAAGAAGCCCCGGCUAACUACGUGCCCGCAGCCGCGGUAAUACGUAUGGAGCAAGCGUUAUCCGGAUUUACUGGGUGUAAAGGGAGCGCAGACGGCAGGGCAAGUCUGAUGUGAAAGUCCGGGGCUCAACCCCGGGACUGCAUUGGAAACUGUCCGGCUAGAGUGCAGGAGAGG